rnacentral:pre_miRNA from 1 species
UUAAUACUCCCUCCGUCUGGAAAUACUUGUCCUAGAAAUGGAUGUAUCUAGACUUAUUUUAGUUAUAGAUACAUACAAUUUAUCCAUUCUUAGAACAAAGAUUUCCCGCCAGAUGGAGAGGGAGUACAUA